rnacentral:rRNA from 1 species
UACGUAGGGUGCGAGCGUUAAUCGGAAUUACUGGGCGUAAAGCGUGCGCAGGCGGUUCGUUAUGUCCGAUGUGAAAGCCCCGAGCUUAACUUGGGAAUGGCAUUGGAAACUGGCGGGCUGGAGUGCGGCAGAGGGGGGUGGAAUUCCACGUGUAGCAGUGAAAUGCGCAGAUAUCAAGAGGAACACCUGCGGCGAAGGCGGGUUGCUGGGCCGACACUGACGCUGAGGCGCGAAAGCCAGGGGAGCGAACGGG